rnacentral:rRNA from 1 species
UGUGUACUAUAGUGCGUYCAARUAAGCCAUGUCUAGUUAGUAGCAAUUAUACCGUGAAACUGCGAAUGGCUCAUUAAAUCAGUUAUCGUUUAUUUGAUAGUACCUUACUACUUGGAUACCCGUGGUAAUUCUAGAGCUAAUACAUGCUAAAAACCCCGACUUCSGGAGGGGUGUGUUUAUUAGAUAAAAAACCAACGCCCUUCGGGGCUCCUUGGUGAUUCAUGAUAACCUCUCAGAUCGCACGGCCUUGCGCCGGCGACGGUUCAUUCAAAUUUCUGCCCUAUCAACUUUCGAUGGUAAGGUAUUGGCUUACCAUGGUUUCAACGGGUAACGGGGAAUUAGGGUUCGAUUCCGGAGAGUGAGCCUGAGAAACGGCUCACACAUCCAAGGAAGGCAGCAGGCGCGCAAAUUACCCAAUCCCGACACGGGGAGGUAGUGACAAUAAAUACUGAUACAGGGCUCUUUUGGGUCUUGUAAUUGGAAUGAGUACAAUUUAAACCUCUUAACGAGGAACAAUUGGAGGGCAAGUCUGGUGCCAGCAGCCGCGGUAAUUCCAGCUCCAAUAGCGUAUAUUAAAGUUGUUGCAGUUAAAAAGCUCGUAGUUGAAUCUUUGGCCUGGCUGGCGGGUCCGCCUCACCGCGUGCACUUGUCCGGCCGGGCCUUCUCUUCUGGAGAACCGCAUGCCCUUCACUGGGCGUGUUGGGGACCAGGACUUUUACUUUGAAAAAAUUAGAGUGUUCAAAGCAGGCCUUUGCUCGAAUACGUUAGCAUGGAAUAAUAGAAUAGGACGUGCGGUCCUAUUUUGUUGGUUUCUAGGACCGCCGUAAUGAUUAAUAGGGACAGUCGGGGGCAUCAGUAUUCAAUUGUCAGAGGUGAAAUUCUUGGAUUUAUUGAAGACUAACUACUGCGAAAGCAUUUGCCAAGGAUGUUUUCAUUAAUCAGUGAACGAAAGUUAGGGGAUCGAAGACGAUCAGAUACCGUCGUAGUCUUAACCAUAAACUAUGCCGACUAGGGAUCGGGGCGGUGUUAUCGAUUUGACCCGCUCGGCACCUUGCGAGAAAUCAAAGUGUUUGGGGUUCUGGGGGAGUAUGUCCACAGG